UACGAAUGGGGCUAGCGUUGUUCGGAAUCACUGGGCGUAAAGCGCACGUAGGCGGAUCUUUAAGUCAGGGGUGAAAUCCCGAGGCUCAACCUCGGAACUGCCUUUGAUACUGGGGAUCUCGAGUCCGGGAGAGGUGAGUGGAACUGCGAGUGUAGAGGUGAAAUUCGUAGAUAUUCGCAAGAACACCAGUGGCGAAGGCGGCUCACUGGCCCGGAACUGACGCUGAGGUGCGAAAGCGUGGGGAGCAAACAGG
rnacentral:rRNA from 1 species